AAAAUAUUAAGGAUAAAUUUUACAAAUUAUCACUUAACUUUCAUAAAUUUUCAUUUUAGGUAUCCAAAUUUUCUUCUAUCAUUUUUUACUAUCUGUUUUCACUCUAUGAUAUUUCAGUUAACAAAAGUCCAAGCUGGUAUUUUUAUAAUUGAUAAAUGAUUUUUAAAAUUUCCACAUAAUAUUAAAUUUUUAUUACAUGGAAAUUUCACCUGCUUCACUUCAAACAAAAAUGACGUUUCAACUUGCUGCUGUCACCGCCACCUACUCCGGUGGUUUCGUCGGACAACUAGGCACGCCAAAACUCUCCUCUUCAUUCUCGUCUCAAAUCUCAUAUUAGUUUUGCCACAAACUCUUCAAAGCCUUGAAACUAGGAGUUAAUGUCUUCCGAUCUCCUUCUCCGGCCAUCUGAUUGCCUCAGUUCCAAGUUUUGAUUUGGAGCUUGUUUUAUUUUUACCAAGUAAAAGGGAUUU